CACAGAUUUAACUGGUUGGGUUAUAGGAAAGAGAAGAUGAUUAUCAAAGCAGGAGCGCUCACCUUUUUAUAUUAGAACCUCCACCGCCUUGGAGAAGCAGAACUCUCAUUAAAUGUAGAUCGUGAAUGAAAUAUUAAUUGAAGGUUUUAAGGGAAUUAAUCUGUAACUUGUAUCUUUGUGAUGAAGAAGAUGGAAGAUUGCUUGACGCAGAAGAGGCGAAGAAGAACACGGGAAUAACCCUAGACGACAACGCUGCGUUUAGUUCCAGACUCAAUAUUAAAUGAAACGCCGAGUUUCGAUUUUCUUGGACACGUGUCCGCGCGAAAACGAACGAAUUAUCUACGUGUAUUGCUCAGGAGAGAUUCAAACUCUUCUUUAUAUAUAAAGAUGUUAAGACUUAAGUUAGCGGAAUAAUUCUGUCAUUAUCUAUUUAGCUUCUACAUUCUUAUUGGUUAACAGUUAUCGUAUCUAUAUAUAUAAAGGGGAGUUUUCUCUCACCUCCUGCUGCCACAUCAUCUCUAUGCAUAUGGCAUUUUGUGCCACCUGUCCACUUCUUAAAAAAAACUAUCGGCAAGUUUAUGUUUUCCCUGUGUUUUGUGUAUUGGGCCAAGUGCAUUGAAUCAUAUUUAAUCCAUAAGACCCAAUAGUUUUUAGGGUUUUGUCCAACUCGCUGGUCCACCUCCGUAUCUCCUCGGAUCUCGACGCCUCCGGCAGCGGCUACCGUUUGUAUUCUUCUGACGUAUUAGAUCAACCAUUUACGUUUCAGUGGGCUUUAAAUACAUAUGCUAUAAAACAAAAGAUUUCUAUUGAUGAAUUUAAGAAACAUGCAUGUAACCAGACGGUUGGUACAUGUCUUCUACGUUUCUUGAGGCGCUUGAUGUGAAAAGAGGGUGAGCUCAUGGUCGCCGACAUGAUGCUUCUUGAUGAAAAGGUAUGUAUCUAUGUGAUAAGCUUCUAAAAUCGUUAACCCCAAAUUUGCGGAAGGUUCCCUGCGUUCCAAGACGUAGAUUGUCAAUAUUUUUGAUUUGUGUUCUUUUCCUUGAGUCCCUUGAUAAUGUGUUUUACAUUGAUUUGGUAGCCAUAUAAACAAUUACCGUACUUUAACUUUCAGGUUCUUCCAUAUUUUUUUUCCUUAAGUUUCUAAUGUAUAAUUAUGUUGGUUUGAACAGCCCUACUGCAAUUCGUGUGCUUAAAGCAGCACUCAAUGAUCAGCAUGUCAGAAUUCAAGUAUGUCUCAGAUGCUUAGUUGUAGUGACAAACUCAUUAUAAAAGGAUUUAUAAACUUUUUUUCUAGGAUGCCGUGAAUGAGAGACACUCUUAUUCUAUGGAACCGAAGAAGCUACUAAAGAAAGAAAGUCUUACUGCUUGAAAACUCUGUUGAAUUUCCCAGUAAACUCUUGACUGGAAAGGUGAACCUAAGGAAUCUGAAGUCACAUUCCUAGCUUUAACAUUCAGUUAUAAAGUUAAUCACAACACUGAGUUGCUACCUUUGGUACACUCCCCAAGUCCUACCAAACAGAUGUAUGUAUUUUCUUAAGAAAUAUUUUUUCAAAUC